rnacentral:tRNA from 1 species
UGUAUAAAUGAAAGCCAAAAUAGAGGUGCCUAGCUGUUAAUUAGGAGAUUGUAGUGAAUAGUCUACUCAUUUAGU